GAUCUGGAUAAAAAUGCUGGUCAUCCAAACCUCAGUUCCACAAUCAAUGCCUGUGAUUCAUGACAGUUGGUGGGCUAUCUGAGAAGAUGGAGGUUUUCAUAAGGGAGGAAUGGAGGAGUUCUUGAUGGAACUGCUGCUCAUGGGAUUAAGGAUACGUAAAAUGUACAAUAGAACCUGACUACCUUAAAGCCAGCUGCCACCACCUGACGGCUGUACCCCAGACUGAAAAAUCCUUAAAUGUUAAGUUGAAGGUUUUCAUGAGGGGAAGAGCCAAAAAAAAAGAAAGAAAGAAAGAAAGGAAAUAAUAUCUAUGGAAUUUUAACUCUCGCAACAACCCUGUGGGGGUGGACAUGAUCGUCUCCACUGACUGAUGUGGAACUGAUAUUCAGAGGUUUCCGAGAAGUUGCAUCAGCUGCUCACAUUUGCACGAGAAAAUGUGAGAGGAAGAACAUCGCAUGGAAGAGAAUCGCGGGUGUGAAACAUAUUUCACACCCAAAGAAAAACCAGGGGAAAAAAAAGGUCAAAUCCAUUCUUUUACCUCUGUCUCAGCACUGAAAAGUCAAUUUUUAAUUAUACGUGUAAGGUUGACCGGGGGCUAACCUAUCAAAAAUGCUGGGUUCAGGGUUGGAGAUUAAAUAUGGAGAGAGGCUCACGUUAUUACUAUUUGGGAGGAAUAAACGUCCAUACAGAAACAAGAGACUGGAAUCUCUGCCUCCAGCCUGCGCUUGACCUUGAGGCGAACAGUGUGAAGUCUGAUCUUUUGGGACAAUAAAUGAAGACCUAGUGGAUAGCAUGGCCCAUAGUGUAUGCCAUAAAUUCUGGGAUGCUGAUCAUGUGUGGGAGAUCAUGUGGCUACCACCAUCUGCUGACACCUCUAUCCUUUGGGGGGCACAGAUUUGCUCAGGUCAUGUAACAUUCUUAGAAGCCUACAAAGGGCUCCUUUUUGCCUUGCGAUAACAUAGACUCUAAAUCCUGUGUCUGGUUCAUUCUCUUCCAAAUGACAUGUCUGCUAUUGCUAACCAUUUAUUAAACGUUUUUCCUUCUGCUUACCUACCUUGUUCAGCUGCCUUAAAUCUGCUCUGGAACAGACAAGAUUUAAAUAAACAAACUGGGUUCAUUCAUUCUUAAACAUGCUCUUUUGCCAAACAGCUAUUUUUCUGCAUGUUUAAAAAUAUAAGAUGGCUAAAUGGCAAUGUAGUCUUAAAUAUACAAAUCUAUGUGGAUUUCCUCCCAAAAUGAGAUAAAUUUUGCUCUUUACCAUCUUACCAGCAUGAUUCCACAGUACUCCCCAAGCAUCAGAAAUCACAUUGAAUAAGGCACUAACUGUGAUGAAAGACAGGGGAGAAAACAGUGCAUCGGGACCCUCUUCUCCA